GGGCCCGCACAAGCGGUGGAGCAUGUGGCUUAAUUCGACGCAACGCGAAGAACCUUACCAAGGCUUGACAUCGUAUUGACAAAUGCAGAAAUGUAUCUCCUUCGGGCAGUAUGACAGGUGGUGCA
rnacentral:rRNA from 1 species